AAAUUGAAGAGUUUGAUCAUGGCUCAGAUUGAACGCUGGCGGCAGGCCUAACACAUGCAAGUCGAACGGUAACAGGAAGAAGCUUGCUUCUUUGCUGACGAGUGGCGGACGGGUGAGUAAUGUCUGGGAAACUGCCUGAUGGAGGGGGAUAACUACUGGAAACGGUAGCUAAUACCGCAUAACGUCGCAAGACCAAAGAGGGGGACCUUCGGGCCUCUUGCCAUCGGAUGUGCCCAGAUGGGAUUAGCUUGUUGGUGGGGUAACGGCUCACCAAGGCGACGAUCCCUAGCUGGUCUGAGAGGAUGACCAGCCACACUGGAACUGAGACACGGUCCAGACUCCUACGGGAGGCAGCAGUGGGGAAUAUUGCACAAUGGGCGCAAGCCUGAUGCAGCCAUGCCGCGUGUAUGAAGAAGGCCUUCGGGUUGUAAAGUACUUUCAGCGGGGAGGAAGGGAGUAAAGUUAAUACCUUUACUCAUUGACGUUACCCGCAGAAGAAGCACCGGCUAACUCCGUGCCAGCAGCCGCGGUAAUACGGAGGGUGCAAGCGUUAAUCGGAAUUACUGGGCGUAAAGCGCACGCAGGCGGUUUGUUAAGUCAGAUGUGAAAUCCCCGGGCUCAACCUGGGAACUGCAUCUGAUACUGGCAAGCUUGAGUCUCGUAGAGGGGGGUAGAAUUCCAGGUGUAGCGGUGAAAUGCGUAGAGAUCUGGAGGAAUACCGGUGGCGAAGGCGGCCCCCUGGACGAAGACUGACGCUCAGGUGCGAAAGCGUGGGGAGCAAACAGGAUUAGAUACCCUGGUAGUCCACGCCGUAAACGAUGUCGACUUGGAGGUUGUGCCCUUGAGGCGUGGCUUCCGGAGCUAACGCGUUAAGUCGACCGCCUGGGGAGUACGGCCGCAAGGUUAAAACUCAAAUGAAUUGACGGGGGCCCGCACAAGCGGUGGAGCAUGUGGUUUAAUUCGAUGCAACGCGAAGAACCUUACCUGGUCUUGACAUCCACAGAACUUUCCAGAGAUGGAUUGGUGCCUUCGGGAACUGUGAGACAGGUGCUGCAUGGCUGUCGUCAGCUCGUGUUGUGAAAUGUUGGGUUAAGUCCCGCAACGAGCGCAACCCUUAUCCUUUGUUGCCAGCGGUCCGGCCGGGAACUCAAAGGAGACUGCCAGUGAUAAACUGGAGGAAGGUGGGGAUGACGUCAAGUCAUCAUGGCCCUUACGACCAGGGCUACACACGUGCUACAAUGGCGCAUACAAAGAGAAGCGACCUCGCGAGAGCAAGCGGACCUCAUAAAGUGCGUCGUAGUCCGGAUUGGAGUCUGCAACUCGACUCCAUGAAGUCGGAAUCGCUAGUAAUCGUGGAUCAGAAUGCCACGGUGAAUACGUUCCCGGGCCUUGUACACACCGCCCGUCACACCAUGGGAGUGGGUUGCAAAAGAAGUAGGUAGCUUAACCUUCGGGAGGGCGCUUACCACUUUGUGAUUCAUGACUGGGGUGAAGUCGUAACAAGGUAACCGUAGGGGAACCUGCGGUUGGAUCACCUCCUUACCUUAAAGAAGC
rnacentral:rRNA from 1 species